CUUCAAAGGAGAAGGUUCAUUUUAGAAGUCAAAAUACUCAAGCAUGGUUUUUGAAGAACAGUAAUUCCUGAGAGACCAUAAUUUUCAAAUCAAAAUUUGAAAGAAGAUUAAUCUCACUCAACAUGGAUCCCUUUGGUCUGGUCCCCAUCCUAACUUUGCUUCAUAUUGUGCUCCAAGUAUCCUCGUCUGCAGCGGCCCCACCAGCUCCAUCUCUGAAUUACAUUAUUUUUGACCGUGGAAACUCUGUCAGCCUAGAAUGCUUAUCUCCACCAGAAGCUAAUAAAAUCGGGCAGUUUCGCUUUGUUACAGAUGAAAUGGUUGUCUCAAUCCUGGCUACCGUCAACAGCACCUACACAUACAAUCUAACUAAUGUGAAACACAAGAACGUGGGGAUUGUCAGAUGUGCUUAUGUUCAAUACCUCCAUGGAAGAAAGGUACUUUCCAGGAUCAGCGAUCCAAUUUUCAUCGACAUGCGAG
rnacentral:lncRNA from 1 species